CUUUGUACAGAAUGUAAACUCUUUUUUUAUACUUUCAAUGCCUAUUUCCAUUUGAAAGAGAAAAGGUUUGAGUUUUAAAAUCCCUUCAUUAGGUCUUGGAAAGGAGAAUUGGAAUGAUUUUAUUCCUUUCUGUUGCUGGAUCGGAAUAUAUUUUCAUGGUGUUCCUUUUACACCAUUUAACUUCCAUGGUUAAUUAAUAUCUGAUAAAAUAUUUGAAUUUUUAAAUUUUAUAACUAUGUGUUGGUUUGAUUGAAUUGGUGAUUAGGAGUAAUUUUGAUUUUUUUAUUUGGUUUGUAUCGAAGAGUUGGUCGACGAUGAUCGGUGUGGGGAAGAAGAUGAUUCAGAGAAGAGAGUGAAUUUCCCUUAAGAUGAUUGUAUGUUUUGUUACUUUUGUAUUUGAUUAGAGUUUCAUAUUUAUAAUACUUACAAUCAGCUAUUGCUUAACUAAUCUCAUCAUAACCAACUAAUUGGUUGUUAUUUCAACACACCCCUCUCAACCUGCGGGGACUCUUCGACGGAGGUUGACUCGCAGCCCUUGAAAUACGUCCGGUUUUAGUGUUUUCGUCAGGAUAUCUGCUCGCUGCAGCUUUCCCGGGAUGUGUUUAACUUUUAUAUCCCUUGCGUCCGUCUUUUCACGUACGAAGUGUAGAUCCAUUGCUACGUACCUGAGCUUCGUGUGGCAGAUCGAAUUAUUUGCCACAAAUGUUGCCCCCUGGUUAUCACUAAGUAACUUCAUUGGAGUUGGAAUCGCUACCCCAAGUUCCGUAAGGAGUGAUUUUGUUGCUUGCAAUUCCUCAACCGUGUUUGCAAUUGCCCUGUAUUCGGCUUCAGUGCUCGAUCUGGCGAUCGUGACCUGCUUCCGUGAUGACCAGCUCACCAGUGUUUCCCCUAAGUAAAUCAACAUUCCCGUCUGGCUCUUCCGAUCGAUGGUGUCGCCUCCCCAGUCCGCGUCACAGUAACCGGUGAGCGUGAAGUUCGUUACUGCAGUGUUAUCCCAAAUGUUUGGGUUCCAGACAAGUAACGUAGUAUCUUUUUCAUCGCGACCCAAUGUAGUGGCUUUGGCGACGCCAUGGACUGUGCUAACUUGUUAACUGAGAAUUGGAUGUCCGGCUGAGUUAACGUGAGGUAUUGGAGUGACCCAAUCACUCUUCGAUAUUCCGUUGCCUGAGUGAUCGGAGCUUCUUCUGAGAAGAGAUCUUGCUGAGCUAUCAUCGGGGUAUUUGAUGGCUUUAGGUUUGUCAGAUUGCAACUUUCCAACAGAUUUACCAAGUAUUGUACUAUUGUUGCUGGGACAGAAAAAGUGUCUUCUUGGUUCGUCGAACCUGAAUGCCGAGAAAAAAUGAUAGUUCCCCUAAUUCCCUUAGAGCGAACUCGCUUGCCAAUUUUACUGUAACUUCUAUUUUUUCUUUCGAUGAUCUCAUUAUCACUAUAUCAUCUACGUAUACGAAUAGAAAUAUUGUUUCGUUGUUUUGAACCCAUAUAAACAGCGAUGGAUUGGCGUAACUUUCUUUAAAUCCUAUAUCUGUUAAAAAAUUCCGUAGUCUCCGGCACCACAUCCGGGGUGACUUCAACCCGUAGAGUGCUUUCUUGAGCAGGCAGACUUGGGUGGGAUGCUUUGGAUCUUCAAACCCGGCUAGCUGCGUGACAAUUAUGCGUUCAUCAAUUUCUCCGUGGAGGAACGCGUUUGAAAUGUCAAUUUGUCUGAGUACCCAAUUUCUGCUGAUAGCCAAUGUGAGAACUAGCCGAAUCGAUGUCGCCUUGACCAUCGGACUGAACGUGUGCGUGUAGUCCGUCCCCUCGACCCGUCUCAUUCCGUUGGCCACCCAUCUCGCUUUGUAGCGUUUAAUCGAACCAUCUUCACGUUGUUUAAUUUUAAAAAUUCAUUUUGUGUUAAUGAUAUUAUCAUCCGGUGGCCUAUCUAUUAAUACCCACGUCUGAUUUUUCUUCAAUGCAUUGUACUCCAGUUCCAUUGCCGAUCUCCAAUUCUGGUCUAGCAUAGCUGUUUUUGGAGAUCGUGGUAUGAAUUUCCCGUUGGCUGCUACUGAUAGAGCGUAUCGAGGGUUCGGUUUCACUAUCCCUUUUGAUGCUCUCGUAGCUGGCCGAUUUCCGGUGAAUUUCUCCUGUGCGUUGCCUGGAUCUAUUUCCGACGACGUUUCCUCUGUUGACGAUGAGAACGUUAUCGGGUAUCCGGAACUUAUUGUGGAAUCUGACACCAUUUGACCCGAUACCUCUUCUUCAUAGGGCGAACUUGAUUGUGAACGAUUUGAUUCGUUAGGGUUUGAUAGAUCUGGAUCGAUCGAGUUCGCCGAUACUUUGUUUACCGUAUUUGGGUUUGAACGAUUUGAUAGACCCGGAUCCGUUACCUCUUCAUUUAUCGAUCGAUUGUGCCCAAGGGUGUGAUGACCCGACACCUCUUUCGACUGAUUUGGAUCCGUUACCUCUUUAUGUAUUACUCGGUUGUGUCCGAUUGUGUGUUGACCCGACAUCUCUUCUGAAUUAUUUCGAAAAAUAGGGCAGUAAGUAGUCCGCUUCUUAGUUGGCGAAUUUGUAACAUUUGCCUUUUCCUCUUCGUAUAAGGAUUUAUUUAGCGUGAAGUCCUUUUCGUUGAAACGAACAUCCUUUGAGAUGUAUAUCCUCCGGCUGGCUGGAUUAUAACACAAGUAUGCGUCCUGAUUUUGUGGGUAUCCUAAGAACACGCACGAAACUGAUUUUUGUGACAAUUUAUUUUCCCUGUAAUUACGAAGACAUGGGUAACAUCGUGACCCAAAAACGCGCAGUUUCCGGUAGUCCAGAGUUCGCUAGAACAGAGCCUCAUAUGGCGACGUGUUGUUUAAAAUCUUUGAUGGAUUCCUGUUGUAUAUGUGGGCUGCUGUUAAUACUGCAUAGUCCCAAUACACGACUGGUAUCCCGGCGUGUUGCAGCAUUGUGAGAGCCGUAUCUAUUAGAUGCCUGUGACGCCUCUCGACAGAACCCAUUUGUUAGUGAUUGUAUGGGGCUGAAAACCAGUACCCAAUUCCUGAUUUUUCGAUGCUUUUUGCGAGUUUCUUGAAUUCCAUGGCGUUAUCAGACUGGACUUCUUUAAUCUGAGUCCCACAUUGCCGUUCUGCGUGCCGUUGAAAUUGUUGGAACGUCGUUCCUACCUCUGCCUUGCUCUUCAAUGGGAAUACCCAAUUGUAAUAGGUGGCGGCGUCUACGAAGUUUAUGUAAUACCGGAAACCUUCUGCCGAGAUUACCGGGGCUGGACCCCAAAUAUCCGUGAAGAUUAGAUCUAGCGGAGACGAAUAAAUUGUAUUGCUCGUUCUGUGUGGCAAAGAAGCUGAUUUAUUUGAUAAGCACGAUUCACACAUUGGUAUUGUUUUACAGUCCGAUGAUGUUACAUUUAUUUCAUUUAAUUUUUCCAUUGAUUGUUUAUUCAGAUGCCCAAGCCUGGCAUGCCAACGUUCGGCUGAUAUUCUUUCGCUCGUCAGAGCUUCAACUUUGCCUAACGUUCUCAUCGGUAAUUGAUAGAGUCCUGCUUCUUCUCUGCCUUCUGCUAUUACGCCUCUAGUCGUGAUAUCACGAAUCCUUACCCUCUGUUUAUCAAAUUCAACAGAGACGGGAUUGUCAGUGCAUAGUUGGUGAAUGGAAAGCAAGUUCUUAGAAGUUUGAGGUACUAUCAGUACAUCCUCUAAUCGGAAUUCCUUUCCUUUGCAUACCAGUGUGCUCUUAUCUGAACCUGUAAUAGUCAUCGAUUCUUCAUUUGCUGCUACAACCCUUUCCGACCCCUUAUAUUUUUCUGAAGAAUUAAGUAGCUUACCAUUAGCCGUUAUAUGCGUAGUCGCACCGGAAUCUGGAUACCACAGUGACACAGCAUUGGCCGACGGCGCACUUGUACCGACUCCAAUUGGUACCAAUUUUCUGUAGUGUGUUGGCGGGAAUUUUGUGAAGUUUGCUCUGUUAUAACAAUUCAGAGCACAUGUCCUUUGCGAGAGCAGAUCUGACAUGGUAGUGAUUUGUUAUUGUAGCUCCUGUCUUCAUUCUUUUUGAGCUUGGUUAUGGCAUUUACUUCAAAAUUUUGGGUUUGCUCGUCUUGCAGUUCUUGGUCCAUCAAGAGUUGUUGGAAUUGGUUGAACGUCAUGGAAUGAUCGAAACGUGUUGAGAUGGAUGUCACAAAUGUUAUACUCUGAACCUAGUCCUCCGAGCGCGAUCAGUAUUAUCUGUGACUCGCGGAGCUUUUCGCUGGCCGAUGCCAGUUUAUCCUUAGCGAUCGCAAAAUGUUUGAUGUAUGCGCCAUCGACAUGUCCCCUUUUCUGACGGUUUGUAACUUCAUACGUAAAUGGAGUAGGCGUGUCUCCGAGUCCGAUGAGUGAAUUUGCCGCAGAGAUUCCCAUACUUCGUGUGAUGUGGUCAGAGCAGCUACCUGAGGCAAGAUCGCCGGAGAGAUUGCCGACAACAUCCAGCUCAAGAUGAUCUGGUCUUGCUGCUCGUCGGAAGAUCCGUCGAGGAUUUCGACCUUCCCUUCCACGUAAUCAAAGAGCCGAUAGCCUUGGAGUAACGCCGAGAACUGGGCUCGCCAGCUGAAGUAAUUAUCUUCCUCCAGAGUAACACAUUUUAGUUGUUUGAUCAUAACAACUUUUUCCGAUGAAUGAGUUAAGGUCGAGAGUUUUGGAGAAAUGAUUCUCCCUUGUGCUCCGUCCACCGUCGUCUGCGCAGCGGAAACAGGAUCGAUCGCGUUGUUAGCGCCCGACGAUGAUACCAUAUCGAAGAUUUGGUCGACGAUGACCGGAGUGGGGAGGAAGAUGAUUCAGAGAAGAGAGUGAAUUUCCC
rnacentral:lncRNA from 1 species